GAUGAACGCUGGCGGCGUGCUUAACACAUGCAAGUCGAACGGAGUGCUCAUGACGGAGUUUUCGGACAACGGAUUGGGUUACUUAGUGGCGGACGGGUGAGUAACGCGUGAGGAACCUGCCUCGGAGUGGGGAAUAACAUACCGAAAGGUGUGCUAAUACCGCAUAAUGCAGUUGGGUCGCAUGACUCUGACUGCCAAAGAUUUAUCGCUCUGAGAUGGCCUCGCGUCUGAUUAGCCAGUUGGCGGGGUAACGGCCCACCAAGGCGACGAUCAGUAGCCGGACUGAGAGGUUGACCGGCCACAUUGGGACUGAGACACGGCCCAGACGCCUACGGGAGGCAGCAGUGGGGAAUAUUGGGCAAUGGGCGCAAGCCUGACCCAGCAACGCCGCGUGAAGGAAGAAGGCUUUCGGGUUGUAAACUUCUUUUGUCAGGGACGAAACAAAUGACGGUACCUGACGAAUAAGCCACGGCUAACUACGUGCCAGCCGCCGCGGUAAUAC
rnacentral:rRNA from 1 species